rnacentral:misc_RNA from 1 species
UUUCCGUAGGUGAACCUGCGGAAGGAUCAUUAUUGAAUUCCAAUUGGAUGAGAUAGCUGCUGGCUUUCGGGCAUGUGCGCAUCUCGUUCAUUUGCCUCUCACCUCUGUGCACUUUUCAUGGAACAAUCGGUGGCUGUUGGCUUCACGGCCGACGACCGCAGGUUGCUUCUGUGUGCCUCAUAAACUUCAGAAUCAGUUUAGAAUGUAUACCGUGUACCUACACAUUUAAAUACAACUUUCAGCAACGGAUCUCUUGGCUCUCGCAUCGAUGAGGAACGCAGC